rnacentral:rRNA from 1 species
GAUGAACGCUGGCGGCGUGCCUAACACAUGCAAGUCGAACGGAGUUAUAUGAAGUUUUCGGAUGGAUUAUAACUUAGUGGCGGACGGGUGAGUAACGCGUGGGUAACCUGCCUCAUACAGGGGGAUAACAGUUGGAAACGGCUGCUAAAACCGCAUAACAUUGCGAUGCCGCAUGGCGAUGCAAUUAAAUAUUUAUAGGUAUGAGAUGGGGCCCGCGUCUGAUUAGCUAGUUGGUGGGGUAAUGGCCUACCAAGGCGACGAUCAGUAGCCGGCUUGAGAGAGUGACCGGCCACAUUGGGACUGAGACACGGCCCAAACUCCUACGGGAGGCUG